AGUGAACGCUGGCGGUAGGCCUAACACAUGCAAGUCGAACGGCAGCACAGUAAGCGUUCGCCCUUACGGGUGGCGAGUGGCGGACGGGUGAGGCAUACAUCGGCAUCUUCUUUUUCGUGGGGGAUAACGUAGGGAAACUUACGCUAAUACCGCAUAUGAUCUACGGGUGAAAGCAGGGGAUCUUCGGACCUUGCGCGAUUGAAUGAGCCGAUGUCGGAUUAGCUAGUUGGCGGGGUAAAGGCCCACCAAGGCGACGAUCCGUAGCUGGUCUGAGAGGAUGAUCAGCCACACUGGAACUGAGACACGGUCCAGACUCCUACGGGAGGCAGCAGUAGGGAAUAUUGGACAAUGGGCGCAAGCCUGAUCCAGCCAUGCCGCGUGAGUGAAGAAGGCCUUCGGGUUGUAAAGCCCUGUUGUUGGGAAAGAAAAGCAGCAGAUUAAUACCCCGCUGUUCUGACGGUACCCAAAGAAUAAGCACCGGCUAACUUCGUG
rnacentral:rRNA from 1 species